rnacentral:rRNA from 1 species
AAAAUAUUUUAAGUUAUUACUAAAAAUUUAUUUUUAUAAUAAAAUUAUAUAAAAAAAUAAAGUUAUAUAAAUUAAAAAAAAAAUUAUAAAUAAAAUAAAUUAUAAAAUUUUAUUUUUAUUUUUAUAAAAUAAAAAUUAUUUAUUUAUACCUUUUGUAUCAGUGAUAAUUAAAAAAUAAAAUAUAUUUUUUAUUCUCGAAUUAAAAAAAUUUAAAUAUAAAAAAUAUUAAUGUUACAAUAUUAUAUAAAAUUUAUAUUUAGAAACAAAAAAUUAUACAAUUUUUAAUAUAUCUAGUUUCUUAAAAAAUAAAUUUAAUUUAAAUAUAUUUAAAUUAAAAAUUAACUAAAAAUUUAUAAAAUAAAUAUAUCUAUAUAAUAGGGGAUAAACUCUAUUUUAAAUUUAUAAUAAAUUUAAUUAAUCUAUUAAUAUAAAAUUAAAAUUUUUUAUUAUUAAUGAAAAUAUUAUAAUUCAAUAUUAUAAAUAAAUAAUUUAAAUAAAUUUAAUUAAUAUUAAGAUAAUAAUUAAAUAAAUAAAAUUAUAAAAUAAUGAUUAUAUUAAUAUAAUAAGAUAAUUAUAUAAAAUAAAAUUUUUUAAAAAAUUUUUUUUAAGGAAUUAAGCAAAUUAAUAAUUUAUAUUCACCAGUUUAUCAAAAACAUGUCUUAAAGAAAUUAAUUUUAAGUCAAUUCUGCUCAAUGAAUUUUAUUUUAAAUAGCUGCAGUAUAAAUAACUGUACAAAGGUAGCAUAAUCAAUAGGUUUUUAAUUAAAAUCUUGAAUGAAAGAAUAAAUGAAAUAUAAACUGUCUCUUUAAAAUAAAUAAAACUUUUUUUUUAAGUAAAAAAACUUAAAUAAAAAAAAAAGACGAAAGGACCUUAUAGAAUUUUAUAAUAUUCUAUAAUUUUUUAAAAAUAAAAAUUAAAUUAAAAAAUUAUUUUUUGGGGGCAAAUUUAAAAUUUUAAACUUUUUAAUUUAAUAAACAAAUAUAAUUGUUUAAAUAAUCCUAAAUUUAGAUUAAAAAAAUUAAUUACCCUUAGGGGAUAACAGCAUAAUUUUUUUUCUAUAGAUCUAAUAUAAAAAAAAAGAUUUAUGACCUCGAUGUUGAAUUAAGGAAAAAAUUAAAAGAAAAAUUUUAAAAUUUUAAGGUCUGUUCGACUUUUAAAUCCUUUACAUGAUUUGAGUUAAAGAUCGGGCGUAAGCCAGAUCGGAUUCUAUCUUUUUUUUAAAUUAAAAUAUUUUUUGGUACGAAAGGAAUUAAUAUUUUAAAAAUUUUAUAUAAAAUAAAUAAAAAUAAUAA